UUUAUGGAGGUUNUCUCCCUCGCCAGGACGAACGCUGGCGGCGUGCCUAAUACAUGCAAGUCGAGCGGACAGAUGGGAGCUUGCUCCCUGAUGUUAGCGGCGGACGGGUGAGUAACACGUGGGUAACCUGCCUGUAAGACUGGGAUAACUCCGGGAAACCGGGGCUAAUACCGGAUGGUUGUUUGAACCGCAUGGUUCAAACAUAAAAGGUGGCUUCGGCUACCACUUACAGAUGGACCCGCGGCGCAUUAGCUAGUUGGUGAGGUAACGGCUCACCAAGGCAACGAUGCGUAGCCGACCUGAGAGGGUGAUCGGCCACACUGGGACUGAGACACGGCCCAGACUCCUACGGGAGGCAGCAGUAGGGAAUCUUCCGCAAUGGACGAAAGUCUGACGGAGCAACGCCGCGUGAGUGAUGAAGGUUUUCGGAUCGUAAAGCUCUGUUGUUAGGGAAGAACAAGUACCGUUCGAAUAGGGCGGUACCUUGACGGUACCUAACCAGAAAGCCACGGCUAACUACGUGCCAGCAGCCGCGGUAAUACGUAGGUGGCAAGCGUUGUCCGGAAUUAUUGGGCGUAAAGGGCUCGCAGGCGGUUUCUUAAGUCUGAUGUGAAAGCCCCCGGCUCAACCGGGGAGGGUCAUUGGAAACUGGGGAACUUGAGUGCAGAAGAGGAGAGUGGAAUUCCACGUGUAGCGGUGAAAUGCGUAGAGAUGUGGAGGAACACCAGUGGCGAAGGCGACUCUCUGGUCUGUAACUGACGCUGAGGAGCGAAAGCGUGGGGAGCGAACAGGAUUAGAUACCCUGGUAGUCCACGCCGUAAACGAUGAGUGCUAAGUGUUAGGGGGUUUCCGCCCCUUAGUGCUGCAGCUAACGCAUUAAGCACUCCGCNNGA
rnacentral:rRNA from 1 species